CUGACCGGUACUUCUUCAUAAGUCAAGUCCUCUCGGAGUGGAAGCGGUUCAUGAGCCAAGACAUGAGAAGGGUCCGGAUUGUACUUACGUAGCAUAGAUACAUGGAACACAUUAUGAACCCGGGAGAGCUCAGGAGGCAGUGCAAGUCUGUAGGCAGUGGUACCAAUCUUGUCUAAGAUCUCAAAGGGUCCAAUAUAUCUGGGGUUUAAUUUUC
rnacentral:lncRNA from 1 species